UACGUAGGGGGCAAGCGUUGUCCGGAUUUAUUGGGCGUAAAGAGCGUGUAGGCGGCCUGAAAGGUCAGCUGUGAAAACUCGAGGCUCAACCUCGAGACGCCGGUGGAAACCAUCAGGCUAGAGUCCGGAAGAGGAGAGUGGAAUUCCUGGUGCAGCGGUGAAAUGCGCAGAUAUCAGGAAGAACACCCGUGGCUAAGGCGGCUCUCUAGUACGGUACUGGACGCUGAGACGCGAAAGCGUGGGGAGCGAACAGG
rnacentral:rRNA from 1 species